rnacentral:lncRNA from 10 species
GGAGGGCAGGCAGCUCAACCUCUAAACCCCCCUGGUCUGGGCACCAAGUCCUGUCCUGGGCACGGGACACAGUCCUCCAGCGAGACCAAACCCAGCUUCUCUACAGCACCAGGAAGAAGGGACUCUGAUUACACUGGACCUAUCCAAGAUCUGAGAUCAUCAACUCAUCUCAAAAUCCUUAAGCUGACCACAGCAGCAUCGUCCCUUUUGCAGUGUAAGGGAGCCCAGCUGGGACAAUGUGUGAAUCAACGCAUGAAGGAGUGAGUGAGCAGCUAACCAAAUGAAAGAAUACUCAGAUAUCUGGGGUACAGUUCCCCUCCAGGUUUGCACAGCAUCUGCUGAAGUCUCCACUAGAAACUCAAUGGAAGGUCCCCACCGG